rnacentral:rRNA from 1 species
GCACAAGCGGCGGAGCAUGCGGAUUAAUUCGAUGCAACGCGAAGAACCUUACCAAGGCUUGACAUACACCGGUAACGCCCAGAGAUGGGUGCCCCUUUGUGGUCGGUGUACAGGUGGUGCAUGGUUGUCGUCAGCUCGUGUCGUGAGAUGUUGGGUUAAGUCCCGCAACGAGCGCAACCCUCGUCCUAUGUUGCCAGCGGGUCAUGCCGGGGACUCAUGGGAGACUGCCGGGGUCAACUCGGAGGAAGGUGGGGAUGACGUCAAAUCAUCAUGCCCCUUAUGUCUUGGGCUUCACGCAUGCUACAAUGGCCGGUACAAAGGGCUGCGAUACCGCGAGGUGGAGCGAAUCCCAGAAAGCCGGUCUCAGUUCGGAUUGGGGUCUGCAACUCGACCCCAUGAAGUCGGAGUCGCUAGUAAUCGCAGAUCAGCAACGCUGCGGUGAAUACGUUCCCGGGCCUU